CUCAGUAAAAUCUUUGAAAUUGUUGCAUGUUGCGUUUAUAUUUUUGUUCACUGUCAAUAAAGUGGAACAGUGACAAGGACUGUCUGAGAGAGCACAGUUGUUAGGGUGUUGUUGGCAACAGACUGGGAUGAAUCAGCCCUCAUUAACGUGAGUCAUUAGCCUAGCCAGAGGAGAGACUGACCUUGUAUUGUAGCUUAAUGUCGAUUAUGGUAGCCCCCCGCACCUCUCUGAUUCAGAGGGGUUGUGUUAAAUGCGGGAGACACAUUUCAGUUGAAUACAUUGCAAUAACUAGGUAUCCCCCUUCCCCUAACGAAUGCAGCUAGCCUAGCGGGUCAUCAGGCAGCAAGACAGGGUAGCGCUAAGCUAAUAACAUCGGCGAAGAAUCAAUAAGAGUAUCAUAUCAGCACUGUUUUGGGUCAGCGAUAAGGACAAAUCUUAUGGGGCUCACUGCCUUUCGAUUUGUCGACKGUGGGCUAAAACGUCCCUAUCAUAAUGGGACCUCUUGGCUAAAGGGGCUUCGUUUGCACUCUAUCGAUAUGACCGAAGUUAUUAAGUGUCCAUUUCCAUAUGUGAAUGCGCUGCGGCAAUAAGAGGUGCCAGCUAUCGGCGACCGAGAUUCCACCGUCAACUUUAUGGAUAGGGGGUGGGUGUGGUUGGGAUAGUUUUGGAGGGAGUAUGGGGGGUAGCAGUUCCAUCCAAUCCGAGCGCUUUCAAUAAUUUAAACUGAUCAACUUCAUUAGCUAAAUUAUGUUGAUUUGACCACAGAACAUGGCCAUAUGGCGCAACGAAACAAAAGAGGAGGAACUAAUUAAAAGUACAAUAAUAAAGAUUUUAAUGAACUGKUUCCCCAGACGUCAGCACAUGGGGCUGUGGAGUCAUAAUUAAGUGCUGUAGUGCUGGCAACAUUCUCUCCCCCAUUUUAAUAACGGCAAGGGUUCCAACCAUCUAAUUAAAUCUGUAAAUGAAUUAGCAACAUUGUGGUUCCCCGCUUGAUUUUUACACCCCACCUCCAACACCGUUCACUAUUCCUAAAUAACUCCAUACACACGCACACACUCGUUCUCUCGCUUUCACUCUUUUUCUCUCUCUCUCUCUCACACACACAUACAUACACUUUUCCAUCCAAACACAUUUGAUGUUAAUGAAAUGUAAUCAUUAUUGAUACACUUUCAGAGGGCUUUAGCAGUUGCUAAUGCAUCCUAAAAAUGCUAGGAUGCAACACUGCACACUCACUGGCGAGUAUGAUAAAUGGUUCUGGGGUACGGAUGUGUCUGUUGAGAAUCAGUCUGUCCUCCCCUUGGAAUUCCUACUUUGUUUUAGGAGAGCAAAGACCUUUCUUCAUCACUAGCUAAUGCUAUCACAUUUUUUUCUACAGGUGCAUCUCAAUAGUGGGUUCCUCUCGUCUCCUUUCCUUCAUCUGCAUGGGUAUGGAAAACGAGACAGGCGGGAAGCAUCAUUCCUUGUAGACAUCCAGCAAAUUGCUCUCCCUAUCCUGUGACCUCAAAUGAGGUACACAUGAAGGAGACAAGAUAAGGAAAGGGAACCAACCUUCUGCUCUCUAUCCUCCCUUUCCAUCUCAAUCUGGGGAUCUGGGAAACUAAUUAACAAAAAAAUCACAUGGACUGACAAGGGAGUCAUUUGCAUAUUAAAUUAAUUGGAUCUUCACUUGGGUCUCUGUAUACUGAUGACAUUGCAAAAUGGAAGGCGUGGAGAAAAAAAAAGACCACUGAUAAAUUCGAAAACUGAAGAGAUUUCCACCGUAGAUGCUAACGUGUUAGGAUUGACCUGCAAUUACAGCAGAGCCAGUUGCCUAUUGGAGCCAUGCUGGRGUUUCAGUGCCUGAUCUGAGUCUGGCAGUGGUAUUCCUCUAGUGCAAGAAAUGGAUAGAUGUCCAUCCCAUCCAUCCAUCCUUCCUUCCCAGAAGCAAUCACAGAAGUAAUGGGAAUAAUAUGUAACCUGAAAAUGUGCUGUUAUUGGCAGAGAGGUUUGGAAUUCACUUWGUUUUUGGUCUAUUAACUUAUACCUUGUCACAAGGCAAGCAAAACUCCACCCUUGCAAAACCUGCUGAUUAGAAGGUCCUAUGUWGAUUGUAUUUUCAACCAGCAACUGUUGGGAUAAAGAAAACACUUUCAGUGUAAAUAUGAUACAAAACAKAGAGGGGAAAAUGUUUUGACUGCACUUGGCCUUUAAAGCAAAACCUUUUACAGCCAGUCCAACAAAGUUCAAGUCUCGCUCUCGUUUCUCWGUUAGCCACCAUCACCAUCAUCAUCAUCAUCAUUGCCAAAAGGACACCCACCCAUGUUGAAGGACUAGCAUGUGUUGGCACAGCAGGUGCCGUUACCACAGCACACACUACCACGCUGACCUCAGGUCAGUGCCCCCUCCUGCUGCGAUCAGAGUCUAACAGUCUAACGCAGUGGUUCCCAAAYRGUGGGUCGGGGUUCACGUGGGGCGUUGAAAAUAAAAUAAAAAUGCUUUCAGUGUGAAGUUAAACGACUUAAACCAAAUAGAAAGUAUGUAGAAAUGAUAAUGGACCUGAAUAUGUUUUAAUAAUAGCUUAUAAUCUUUGAAAACGUAUAAUCAACUAAAUAGAAACGAGAAAAUCAGGCCUCAAUUGAUUUUAUGUUUGAGCAUAAUAACACAACAUUAGCCAUGUCAAAAUGCGUAGAAUUGCAGGAUGAUAUUUUGACUUAUUCUUUGGUCUGKGUAUGUUUUUUCACCUCUCAACCCUUAUGGUGGGUCGCGACUCAAAAGGGACCUCAGUUGGUGGGUCACGAAGAAAAUAUUUUGGGGAACCCCUGUCUAACGGAUGGGUGACCGCCCCACGCAGCAGAUCCCAGGUCAGUUUCCAGAGGCCACAGUGACCCUUGGAGCUAAUUAAGGCUAAAUAUAAGGGCAUUAAUGAGCCAGGGGCCCUGAUGAAAGGAGCA